rnacentral:rRNA from 1 species
CAGUCGCCGCGGUAACACAGAGGGUGCGAGCGUUAAUCGGAUUUACUGGGCGUAAAGCGUGCGUAGGCGGCUUCUUAAGUCGGAUGUGAAAUCCCUGAGCUUAACUUAGGAAUUGCAUUCGAUACUGGGAAGCUAGAGUAUGGGAGAGGAUGGUAGAAUUCCAGGUGUAGCGGUGAAAUGCGUAGAGAUCUGGAGGAAUACCGAUGGCGAAGGCAGCCAUCUGGCCUAAUACUGACGCUGAGGUACGAAAGCAUGGGGAGCAAACAGGAUUAGAUACCCGCGUAGUCCCUGUCUCUUAUAC